GUUUGGAAAACAACCAAUUGAUUAAAAAGUAUAAUUAAAGAUGCUAAGUUGAUCGUGAUCGUUGACAAUAAGGCAAACAUAAAGAAUGAGGACUGGAGGAAUUUCUAAUUUACACACUAAGGAAGGAUAAAUACUUUUUCAAACAUUAUCAGUUGUUAGCUGAUCUUUCUUUUUAGAAGCGAUCUUUUGUUUGCCAGACGAUUUCUUCUCUUUUGUUUUUUUAUCAGAGGCAUUUUCGGAAGCUUGAGAAGCAGUGCUAUUAGAAACGGGGGUUUUUUUUGGCUUCUUUUUAGAUUUUUUGCGAUCAGAAACUUUAUCUUCUUUGAUUACAGCAGCUGCAGAUUCAGCAGGUGCCUUUGAAGACUUUUUUGAUUCUUGUGAGCUUUUACCAGCUUUUGAAUUGUUAGAUGCCGGCUUUUCAGCCAAGCGUAGCUUUUUCUUAGCCUUCACAGAUUUCUUAGAUGGUUUUGAUUUUCCUUUUUCUACAACGGCAUUUUUUUUCUCAGCAAGAUAUUGUAGUAAUGGAGUAGAGGUUUGUAAUUUUUCAAUAACAUCGUCAUUGGACGCAGUUUGCGAAUAGCUCUCCCGCUGAACCUUGAAUUCUUGAAACUUCGGAUCUUGUUCAAGUGAGCCUUCUAAACUAUCUGCCUUUACUUUAGAAGGAGGAAUCUUUUGAUAUGGAGCAAUUGUGACAAUUGCCCUAUAAGUGUUGUCUAAUGCAUGUUUGAGUUAAAAAAGAAAAAUUUGAAUGGUAACAACUUACUCUUCUUAUCUAUGAAGGUAUGUCCUUGGUAUACGCGAAAAAAUUCCUGAACAGCCGUGGCGGAUUGGAACUUCAAAUACGCAAAGGAUAGCAAUUCAGAUCGAGUACUACAAAGGCACGAUAUUAGUAACUAUUUGCAAGAAAGGUUAAAGAAAUAAAUAAAUACCCAACAGUUGCUUUCCCUUUGGAGAAUCGGUGCCAUUCCACGUGUGGUAAAAAUGAGUUGAUGGAUUGGAGAAACACUUGUUCAGGCAAAGUUGGUGGUAAAUUAAAAACGAGGACUUUGCAUGGUAAUCGUUUUUUUGAGAUAUCAGGAGCCAUCUACAUACAUGCAAUGAAAUGCUUAAGGUAGUUCCCCUAUUAUAGAAAAUUGGUGAUUGAUGAUAACCAAAGCUUUUUGUAGGGAGGGUACUUUUGCGCUACUUAUUUU